rfam:Colius striatus contig77314, whole genome shotgun sequence.
AAUAUGGAUUUUUUUAAAUCCAUAUUUGAUUUUCUAUCAAAUGUAA